rnacentral:rRNA from 1 species
UUUAACUUUCAAAUUAAAUAUUUGAAUUAUCAAUAAUUGAUCUGAAUAUGAAACCCAUUUGAGCGAGAGUAGUACUAGGAUGGGCGACCUCUUGGGAAGUCCUCGUAAAGGGUUCCAU